rnacentral:rRNA from 1 species
GACGAACGCUGGCGGCGUGCUUAACACAUGCAAGUCGAACGGAAAGGCCCCUUCGGGGGUACUCGAGUGGCGAACGGGUGAGUAACACGUGAGUAACCUGCCCUUGACUUCGGGAUAACUUCAGGAAACUGGGGCUAAUACCGGAUAGGAAUCCUUGCUGCAUGGUGGGGGUUGGAAAGCUUCGGCGGUUUUGGAUGGACUCGCGGCUUAUCAGCUUGUUGGUGGGGUAGUGGCUUACCAAGGCUUUGACGGGUAGCCGGCCUGAGAGGGCGACCGGCCACACAGUGACUGAGAUACGGCGCAGACUCGUACGGGAGGCAGAAGUGGGGAAUAUUGCACAAUGGGCGGAAGCCUGAUGCAGAAACGCCGCGUGCGGGAGGACGGCGUUCGGGUGGUAAACCGCUUUCAGAAGGGGCGAAGCUUGUGGUGACGGUACCUGCAGAAGAAGCACCGGCUAACUACGUG